GCUCACACACACACACACACACACACACACACACACACACACACAGCAUCUGUGGAAAGUCUCUCACAGGAUCUUGGACACUGGGAAAAAAAAAAGGUCCAAACGAGAAGGAGACCGGGAGCCAUCUCACUCCAGAGCCUUUUUCUCCCUGCUGAAGUCUAGGAUGGCCUCUUGUGGGUCCUGUUUCUGGUCCAUCGUCUGGCUUGUGGUCCUGCUGUUCAUCGGCUGGCCCCUCAGCAUCACCCUGGGGGGUCUCUAUGGCCUCCUCAGCCCGCUCACCACCUGCCUCGGCCUGGACCGCUUCUCCGAUCUGCUCCUGGAGGGGGCCAACUUGGGCCGGACCUGUGCCAACAACAUGAGGCACGGCAAGCCUUUGUGUUGAGACCCGUCCCGAGCGACCCGGAAACGGGACGACGCAAAGGGUCAAAGGCGAGAUUGGUGCUUUUCUACGGAGAAAAUCCUUCACGUCAGGGGAGAACUGUUGAUGUUUUGUGUUUUUUGACAUCCUGAGAUGAUCUGCACUCAGUACAGGGGAGAAAUCUAACAGGCAUUUAAUGGGACAAGAAGGUCUGGAAGGUCUGGAAGGUGGAUUCCCCUUUGUUCAGUUAACAUGUAAUUAACCGUGGAUUUCAAAUUUGUAUGGGUUUGUCAGGAAGGAGAAAGGCUUUGUGUUCCUCGUCUGUGUUUGCUGCCUCAUUCAUGAUGACCCUGCACGGGGAAGAUAGGAAUGAAAAUGUCAAUUCGACAAAAGGAAUGCUUAGACUUGUAAAUGAACUGAAUGGAAACUUAUAAUACGAUUAAAACUGCUUUGAACUUGC